CCUUCUGGAUAAUAAAUCAACGCCGGAAAUAGGCAGCCAUUUAUGUUUUGUGUCCUUGCUCUUGUUAUUACGUAAAAUAACUUAUUUCCCACUUGAAAAUGUGAAGCUAUAAAAUACAAGUUAAGAUAAAAUGGGGGGUGGGGAGUUUGAGGUGGGGGCGGUUAAGUGUGGUGUGUAGCAGUGAAGAAAGCAGGUUUAUACUAGUUAUUUUUGAUUGUUGUUAAGCAAGAUUGUCAACUGCGAUGGACCGUAUUAUGUAGAAUUGGGCGUUUCAAAGAAUUUAGCCAGCUUCUCAACAAACGAGUGAACUUGGAAUAACUCGGAUUUGGAAAUUAAUAAAAAUUCGAGAGCAACAAAAUUUUCCUGAGAAAUUACCACGUGUAAUUCACCCGUUCCUUGGGUUCUAGUCGGAGUGGCGAUUAAUUAUAUUUAUUCAAGUGGGAGAUAUAUAUUACGAUUGAAAUUUGUAACGGAAAAAGACAUUUUUACGCGGACUACGCAUUAAUCAAAGAUCUUGACGACGAAACAGGACAACAUUCAGGGGAAAAUCGUUCGUAUUAAUUUGAUAAUAUGUAUGAAAUAUUUAGUUUUAAUUAGGUUAAAGAAGUAAUUAGCAUUUGGCCUCACUUUAACUACAUAUAUUUGCAUAUUCUACUUUCCAUUAAACGAAACCAAACCCUUAACUCAAUGAUACACAUUUACAUAUGUACCACACCAUGAAACAUAAAAGCAUGAAUUACUUAGAAAUUUUGGGAACGUCUUGUGUUGGUGCAGAGCUUAUAAACAUAUUGGAUAACUGAAUUCUAUUCAAACGCGGGGUUAACAAAUUCUGAGAAACAUUUUAAGCUUUUUCAGGAAUUUUGCAGCCAUUAUUUUACGAGAUUUGCGACCUUUCUUAAUUCUUCUGUAGGCAUUUCUAUGCCCUACUGCCAUUUAAAAUGGAGCUUAUUUAAACAUUUUUAUAUCAAAAUUUCCUCUGAACAUUCGUGCCUAAAUUUUUGCAAUGCAAAAGAUUACGCUCAUAAUAAUAUUAUUUAAGUGUGCAUGCAAUCUAUUUACAUAGUUUUCCAGCAGCGAGUUUGUUUUACUCUACAUUCUUUUUCCAAGUUUCGCAUCUUAUGUUCGGAUCGUGACUAAAUCUAAUCAUUUAGAGUUUAAAUUGGGCUUCUUACUUUGAAUAAAAGGGAAGCGCUGCAUAUAAAUUUCAUGCAUACUGUAACAUGCAAGAAAUUUAUUGGGGAAUAACCUCAAUCGAGGUCACAAUGCGGCAAUUUUUGUUGCACCCAUGUUGCACCCUAACUUUUCGAAAAUUGAAAUUGACAGGAUUUUCAUUAGCUUGAAAAGCAAUGAACAGUUUGAAAAGUUGGGCAGAUUCAGAUAGUCGCAACAGCAUUAUAUUUACAGGAUAAAUUGGAAGUUGGGCAGAAACAGGAAACUUUACGAUAUAUUUAGUUUACCAAUCACUUAUGCAGAAUAUCCUUUGGUUCAACCUUCCAUACACUUAUCAUUGACAAGAUUUUGCACCUUUCUUAUUUUGCAUGAUUGAGGUCUCCCACAAGACAGGUUAGGAUGUGGGGUCCACAGAGUAGCACACCUUGGAGGUCACUGCCAAAUUCUCAAGGUAUCAUAACGAUUUUUCAAAACCGUAAGAAUACGACCUGGUAGAAUCCACGGUCAGUGAAAAAUGGACGCACGUAAAGCAGUCUGUAAUUUUAAAACAUAGAAUUAUUCUCAUUUUGCAGAACACAAUAUUAAAGUACUACUGUGUACAAAGUCGUACUUUUCACAACUAAAAGAUUAACACACCCAGAAAUCGAUUUUUCAAAGAGUUUUGAUGACCAGAAAAUGCUGGUUCUCUUCACAUUCUUGACGUGAUGCUUAUUCUUGAGCCUCAUAAUCUUAGUCGGUUCGUGGUUGAUGGUCCAUACGGCGGACUUCGCCAUUACACAAAGAAAUUGCACACAUUUUUAUUGUUAGUUUUUCAUUCUUUACAAACAUAUGUAAAA